rnacentral:rRNA from 1 species
UGGGGAAUAUUGGACAAUGGGCGAAAGCCUGAUCCAGCCAUGCCGCGUGUGUGAAGAAGGUCUUCGGAUUGUAAAGCACUUUAAGUUGGGAGGAAGAGCAGUAAGCGAAUACCUUGCUGUUUUGACGUUACCGACAGAAUAAGCACCGGCUAACUCUGUGCCAGCAGCCGCGGUAAUACAGAGGGUGCAAGCGUUAAUCGGAAUUACUGGGCGUAAAGCGUGCGUAGGCGGCUAAUUGAGUCGGAUGUGAAAUCCCCGAGCUUAACUUGGGAAUUGCAUUCGAUACUGGUUAGCUAGAGUGUGGGAGAGGAUGGUAGAAUUCCAGGUGUAGCGGUGAAAUGCGUAGAGAUCUGGAGGAAUACCGAUGGCGAAGGCAGCCAUCUGGCCUAACACUGACGCUGAGGUACGAAAGCAUGGGGAGCAAACAGG